CUCUGCCUCUCCCAAAAGACUCUGCCGCCGCCCCGCUGAGCCCCUGGACGCUGCCGCGCCUGCCGUGGUGGUGGUCUCAGUGAAACACGACCCCCUGCCUCACCUCCUCCCCGAAGCCAAUGGGCACAGAAGCACCACCUCACCCACAGUAGUUUCACCUGCUAUUGUUUCCCCCACACAGAUCCUGAUCUGCUCCAAAAUCCCAGCAAGGCUCAUCAUGCCAAGAAAGUGCAACCAGAUCCUCCGUGGCACUUGAAGCACUGAGCCAGCAUAUGCUCCCAAGAGCUCUUGGGUCCCCUGGAGAAGGCUGUGAGAGCCAGCGUGCUGGAUGUGGAUAGAGGCACCCCUUUCUGCGAGGGGCAGAGUCAGUGCUUCACCCUGGGGCCAGCACCUCUGGGAGCAGGAGGAGGGAGCAGUUAAAACAUUCUCAACAGACCCAGUGGCAGCAGUACAACCCAGCUAUCUCGGAGAGCUACCGGCCAUCAGUAUGAGUGAAGAAGCAGAAGAAAGGGUAUGGAUGCACUCGUGUAUAAAAACUUCUGGCCAAAGCUAAGACUUGUUCUUCGCACUUUGGAGAGUGAAGGUGAAAAGGAAGAGAAGGCACUGAUGGCAUGUGUGUGCCUCAGGAGAAUGAAAUGCAGCUCACAUGCUCCAUGCUGUUGCUGACACGAAGCUGUCUUUGAAGACCUUGUGGGACUCUGAGGGCCCAGCUCACCCCAGCACCUUCACCCUAGUGUCAUUUAUGGCCAUAGUCAGACACUGUUGUGCGGGGAAGUUGCCAGCUGGUAGAGGUGCCUGGAGUUGGGUUUUUCCCUUCCAACAGAACGAGCAUCUGGACUUCCUGUAUGCAUAGCUCUGUAUCUCUGCAUGCUUGUUCCUUCUUCCAGAAGUGGUAUUUGU
rnacentral:lncRNA from 1 species